UUAAAGAGAGUUUGAUCCUGGCUCAGGACGAACGCUGGCGGCGUGCCUAAUACAUGCAAGUCGAACGAACCAAAGAGAAGCUUGCUUCUCUGUCGGUGAGUGGCGGACGGGUGAGUAACACGUGGGCAACCUGCCUAUCAGCGGGGGAUAACACUUGGAAACAGGUGCUAAUACCGCAUAAUAGAGAAGUUCGCAUGAACUUCUUUUGAAAGACGGUUUCGGCUGUCACUGAUAGAUGGGCCCGCGGUGCAUUAGCUAGUUGGUGGGGUAAAGGCCUACCAAGGCGACGAUGCAUAGCCGACCUGAGAGGGUGAUCGGCCACACUGGGACUGAGACACGGCCCAGACUCCUACGGGAGGCAGCAGUAGGGAAUCUUCCGCAAUGGACGAAAGUCUGACGGAGCAACGCCGCGUGUGUGAAGAAGGUUUUCGGAUCGUAAAGCACUGUUGUUAGAGAAGAACAAGGAUAAGAGUCACUGCUUGUC
rnacentral:rRNA from 1 species